AGACACAAAGGAAUGAGAGUAGCCUUAGCGUUAAUGCAACAAAGUAGAAAUUUCAUCCAGUUUAGAGACAUUUUAGUUAUUCGUUUGUUAGUGUGUGUGUGUGUCUGUGUGUGUGUGUGUGUAGACAGGAAUAUGCACAUCUAAGUGCUUCUGAAGUAAAAAUGCAGGAAAAUAAGAAAGGAAAACUGCAUGGGCAGGGCUGGAUGCCUGUUCUGUCAAAGACAGCACAUACUCUCUGCUCUACUGGUGUACUGAAACUAUCGACCAGGAAGGAAGAGAGAAACUAAGGCUAUGGAGGGCAAAUGCACCCAGUCCCCUCCAGCACUUGCCAGGAAUUGGCUCUGGGAAGAAAAGUGACUUCAACCACACCAAAAUGUCACUGUCUGCCUUGUGUACACCACAGGUCUCAUAAGACCCACAGACUGGCGACCUGUCCGGAGUGAUCCCCGACUCUCACCCUAUGGUAGCUGUGAUAGGCUUCAGCCCUCCUGCAGCAGAAUAAAAUGAAUGGAUGUUAUCCUAGAGGAUGAAGUGUUGUUUCUAACCGAUUUCCUCUAAGUAUUUGCCAGCACCCAGACUGAGGGAGGCAGUGAGUUCGGCGAGCCACACGAUCUUGGAACUCUUAUGACCUUACACAAGGACUGCCACACAGACAUUAAUCCAUGAGCUCUGCUGCUCCAGGCCUGUCAGCACAAAAUCACACCCACUUUUGCCAUCAUAUAAACUCAAGAAGAAACUGACACUGCCUGUACUGAUGUUUAGUUAUCUACUCUUGUCACUAACAGUGCCGUAUCCACAGUGGUGGAAAGGCAUGUGGGCCGGAUCAAUGCCCUGCAGGGGCUUUUGGCAGGGGACAGUGUUUUGAUAAAGGACUUUGCAGAUGACAUUCCUUCUUUCCCUGCUUCCUCUCUUU